AUUGAACGCUGGCGGCAGGCCUAACACAUGCAAGUCGAGCGGAUGAAGGGGGCUUGCUCCUGGAUUCAGCGGCGGACGGGUGAGUAAUGCCUAGGAAUCUGCCUGGUAGUGGGGGAUAACGUUCGGAAACGGGCGCUAAUACCGCAUACGUCCUGAGGGAGAAAGUGGGGGAUCUUCGGACCUCACGCUAUCAGAUGAGCCUAGGUCGGAUUAGCUAGUUGGUGGGGUAAAGGCCUACCAAGGCGACGAUCCGUAACUGGUCUGAGAGGAUGAUCAGUCACACUGGAACUGAGACACGGUCCAGACUCCUACGGGAGGCAGCAGUGGGGAAUAUUGGACAAUGGGCGAAAGCCUGAUCCAGCCAUGCCGCGUGUGUGAAGAAGGUCUUCGGAUUGUAAAGCACCUUAAGUUGGGAGGAAGGGCAGUAAGUUAAUACCUUGCUGUUUUGACGUUACCAACAGAAUAAGCACCGGCUAACUUCGUG
rnacentral:rRNA from 1 species